CUUUCAGCGACGGACAUCUCGGCU
rnacentral:rRNA from 1 species